GAUGAACGCUGGCGGCGUGCUUAACACAUGCCAGUCGAACGGAAAGGCUCCUGCUUGCAGGGGUACUCGAGUGGCGAACGGGUGGGUAACACGUGGGUGAUCUGCCCUGCACUUCGGGAUAAGCCUGGGAAACUGGGUCUAAUACCGGAUAGGACGAUGGUUUGGAUGCCAUUGUGGAAAGUUUUUCGGUGUGGGAUGAGCUCGCGGCCUAUCAGCUUGUUGGUGGGGUAAUGGCCUACCAAGGCGUCGACGGGUAGCCGGCCUGAGAGGGUGUACGGCCACAUUGGGACUGAGAUACGGCCCAGACUCCUACGGGAGGCAGCAGUGGGGAAUAUUGCACAAUGGGCGCAAGCCUGAUGCAGCGACGCCGCGUGGGGGAUGACGGCCUUCGGGUUGUAAACUCCUUUCGCUAGGGACGAAGCGCAAGUGACGGUACCUGGAGAAGAAGCACCGGCUAACUACGUG
rnacentral:rRNA from 1 species